AGCAAACCUCAGAAAGCCAAUCUCAGUUCGGAUUGUAGGCUGCAACUCGCCUACAUGAAGUUGGAAUCGCUAGUAAUCGCGAAUCAGAAUGUCGCGGUGAAUACGUUCCCGGGUCUUGUACACACCGCCCGUCACACCACGAGAGUUUACAACACCCGAAGUCAGUGGCCUAACCGCAAGGAGGGAGCUGCCUAAGGUGGGGUAGAUGAUUGGGGUGAAGUCGUAACAAGGUAAC
rnacentral:rRNA from 1 species